CCUACGGGAGGCAGCAGUGAGGAAUAUUGGUCAAUGGCCGGAAGGCUGAACCAGCCAAGCCGCGUGAAGGACGAAGGUGCCAAGCAUUGUAAACUUCUUUUGUCAAGGGACAAAAUCAGGCUCGAGAGCCUGACCGAGGGUACUUGAAGAAAAAGCAUCGGCUAACUCCGUGCCAGCAGCCGCGGUAAUACGGAGGAUGCGAGCGUUAUCCGGAUUUAUUGGGUUUAAAGGGUGCGUAGGCGGUCCGGAAAGUCAGCGGUAAAAGCCCGGGGCUCAACCCCGGCGAGCCGUUGAAACUGUCGGACUAGAGACGGCGAGAAGUACGCGGAAUGCGCGGUGUAGCGGUGAAAUGCAUAGAUAUCGCGCAGAACUCCGAUUGCGAAGGCAGCGUACCGGCGCCGGACUGACGCUGAGGCACGAAAGCGUGGGUAUCGAACAGGAUUAGAUACCCUUGUAGUC
rnacentral:rRNA from 1 species